AACGAACGCUGGCGGCAUGCCUAACACAUGCAAGUCGAACGAGACCUUCGGGUCUUGUGGCGCACGGGUGCGUAACGCGUGGGAACCUGCCCUUAGGUUCGGAAUAACUCCCCGAAAGGGGUGCUCAUACCGGAUAAUGUCUUCGGACCAAAGAUUUAUGGCCUUUGGAUGGGCCCGCGUUGGAUUAGCUAGUUGGUAGGGUAAAAGCCUACCAAGGCGUGGAUCCAUAGCUGGUCGGAGAGGAGGACAAGCCACACUGGGAAUGAGACACGGCCCAGAAUCCGACGGAGGGGAGGAGAGGGGAAUAUUGGGGGAGGGGGCAAAGUCUGGCACAGCAAUGCCGGGGGAGAGAUGAAGGGCGUAGGGUUGUAAAGCUCUUUUUGCCGGGACGAUAAUGACAGUACCGGGAGAAGAAGCUCCGGCUAACUACGUG
rnacentral:rRNA from 1 species